rnacentral:RNase_P_RNA from 2 species
AGAGCAGGCUGGAUGAUCGCUGGCCAACUCAAGGGUUGGCGGGAGGAAAGUCCGAGCUCCGCAGGGCAAGGUGCUGGGUAACGCCCAGUGGGGGCGACCCUAAGGAAAGUGCCACAGAGAAUAGACCGCCGGGGUGGAGAACCCACCUCGGCAAGGGUGAAACGGCGAGGUAAGAGCUCACCAGUUCCGGCGGCGACGCCGGAAGCUAGGCAAACCCCACCUGGAGCAAGGCCAAAUAGGGGAGCGUGAGAGGACGGCCCGUCCGAGGCUCCCGGGUAGGCUGCUGGAGACCGCCAGCAAUGGCGGUUCUAGAGGAAUGAUCAUCACCGGAGGACUCCGGAACAGAACUCGGCUUAUGGCCUGCUCUCGAU